rnacentral:rRNA from 1 species
UAGGGAAUAUUGCACAAUGGGGGAAACCCUGAUGCAGCGACGCCGCGUGAGCGAAGAAGUAUCUCGGUAUGUAAAGCUCUAUCAGCAGGGAAGAAGAUGACGGUACCUGACUAAGAAGCACCGGCUAAAUACGUGCCAGCAGCCGCGGUAAUACGUAUGGUGCAAGCGUUAUCCGGAUUUACUGGGUGUAAAGGGAGCGUAGACGGAAGAGCAAGUCUGGAGUGAAAGCCCGGGGCUCAACCCCGGGACUGCUUUGGAAACUGUUUAUCUAGAGUGCCGGAGAGGCAAGCGGAAUUCCUAGUGUAGCGGUGAAAUGCGUAGAUAUUAGGAGGAACACCAGUGGCGAAGGCGGCUUGCUGGACGGUAACUGACGUUGAGGCUCGAAAGCGUGGGGAGCAAACA